AUGAGCAUUGUGGCAUCUCUCCAGAGAGGCUAAGGGAGGAACAAAGACUUAGGCAGGAGGCAGAACAGGAGGCUGUUCAACAGAGGAUGAGCGCGAUGUUCCAGUACAUGCAAAGUAUUGGAGCAGCUGUAGGUCAACCUCCUCCACCUGAGUUAUUCCAACCUAUACAACCUGCUGUCAACACUCCUAAUCAAUCGGCGGCGUCAAACGAUCCACCUCCUAGGCUACAAGGAGGAUCGG